rnacentral:rRNA from 1 species
CUACGGGUUGCUCCAGUAAGGAAUAUUGCGCAAUGGAGGCAACUCUGACGCAGCCAUGCCGCGUGCAGGAAGAAGGCCUUAUGGGUCGUAAACUGCUUUUAUUUAGGAAUAAACCCCCGAACGUGUUCGGGGCUGAAGGUACUAAACGAAUAAGCACCGGCUAACUCCGUGCCAGCAGCCGCGGUAAUACGGAGGGUGCAAGCGUUAUCCGGAUUUAUUGGGUUUAAAGGGUGCGCAGGCGGGCUAUUAAGUCAGUGGUGAAAUCCCGGGGCUCAACCCCGGAACUGCCAUUGAUACUGAUAGUCUUGAGUUUGGUUGAAGUGGGCGGAAUGUAGCAUGUAGCGGUGAAAUGCAUAGAUAUGCUACAGAACACCAAUCGCGAAGGCAGCUCACUAAGCCAAAACUGACGCUCAUGCACGAAAGCGUGGGGAUCAAACAGGAUUAGAUACCCGCGUAGUC